CCUACGGGCGGCAGCAGUGAGGAAUAUUGGGCAAUGGGCGGAAGCCUGAACCAGCCAAGUAGCGUGCAGGAUGACGGCCCUACGGGUUGUAAACUGCUUUUAUACGGGAAUAACGCGCCUUACGUGUAGGGCUUUGUAUGUACCGUAUGAAUAAGGACCGGCUAAUUCCGUGCCAGCAGCCGCGGUAAUACGGAAGGUCCGGGCGUUACCCGGAUGUAUUGGGUUUAAAGGGAGCGUAGGCGGCAUGUCAAGCGUGCUGUGAAAUGUCCGGGCUCAACCCGGGCCUUGCAGCGCGAACUGGCGUGCUGGAGUCCGCGGGAGGCAGGCGGAAUUCGAGGUGUAGGGGUGAAAUGCUUAGAUAUGACGAAGAACCCCGAUGGCGAAGGCAGCUUGCUGCAGCGGAACUGACGCUGAUGCUCGAAAGCGUGGGUAUCGAACAGGACUAGAUACCCGUGUAGUC
rnacentral:rRNA from 1 species